GAAUGGUAAAGUCAAUCAAAUCAACACGUUUAUAAAGUGUCCAGCAACAGGUACGUUCGCUGAUUUGACGACAAUGAGGGAAAGGACACUUGCCAAAACAAAUGUCACGUGAGCCACACAAACUUUUUCUUGCCCCCCUGAGCUCUGUAAAUCUGGCUAUGGUUUUGUUUUUCCUUUGCCGCUUCUGGUUCAUCAUGGCAGCACAUAGAAAUAUUUGGCUACCCAACAGCAUAAUUUUUUUUGUUCGCUUUUCCCUAUUUUCUCGUGAUUUUUUCCUUCGCUCUACGAUUUUCUCUCAACCCGAUCCGUGAUUUGGCAGCCUGAAAUCACGUAAGCCAAAGGGGGAAGGGGAAGGAAGUUCCGUCAUGUGUCUGCGUCUACUUUGCUCUGAUUACAAAACCCAACAACAGAUUCACUGCGAAAAACAAGCAACAAUAAUAAAAUAUCUACAGGCCACUCAACAAA